AUUAUAUGAUUGUGUUCUGUCCGGUUUCUAACUUGGGAAAAUGUUGCCUAAGAUAUGAUUGAAACAGAGAUAAACGUCCCUAAGUAAUGCUUGUCAAACUAUGUUCAAAGCUUGGAUAAUUGAAUCUCUGCGAUUAUCUUAUAUUCAUUGCUGGCUGGGCAGCAUGUUAUUAACUUCAAGUUUCUGCUUAGAUUUGCCUUCAAUAAGGCUUUUCUAAUGAUGUCCUCAAAAGGAUAUAUUCAAUAUUCUGCUUGAGUUUUAUAACUCUCAAUGAUCUGCUGUAUAUUGAUGGGGAUACAUGUUCUUCAGUAACUUCAAGAUUCUGCUCAGAUUUGCCUUCAAUAAGGCUUUUCUAGUGAUGUCCUGACAAGGAUUAUUCAAUGAUCUGCUUGAGUUUAAAACUCUCAAUGAUCUGCUGCAUAUUGAUGGGGAUACAAGUACUUCAGUAACUUCAAGAUUCUGCUCAGAUUUGCCUUCAGUAAGGCUUUUCUAGUGAUGUUCUGACUAGGAUUAUUCAAUGAUCUGUUGGAGGUUUACAAACUCUCAAUGAUCUGCUGAUAUUGAUGGGGGUAAAUGUUCUUCAAUAACUUCAAGAUUCUGCUCAGAUUUGCCUUCAAUAAGGCUUUUCUAGUGAUGCCCUGAUUGGGAUUAUUCAGUGAUCUGCUUGAGUUUUAACAACUCUCAAUGAUCUGCUGCAUAUUGAUGGGGAUACAAGUUCUUCAUUAACUUCGAGAUUCUGCUCAGAUUUGCCUUCAAUAAGGCUUUUCUAGUGAUGUCCUGACUAGGAUUAUUCAAUGAUCUGCUGGAGGUUUAAAAACUCUCAAUGAUCUGCUGCAUAUUGAUGGGGAUACAAGUUCUUCAGUAACUGCAAGAUUCUGCUCAUAUUUGCCUUCAAUAAGGCUUUUCUAGUGAUGUCCUGACUAGGAUUAUUCAAUGAUCUGCUGGAGUUUAAAAUACUCUCAAUGAUCUGCUGUAUAUUGAUGGGGAUACAUGUUCUUCAGUAACUUCAAGAUUCUGCUCAGAUUUGCCUUCAAUAAGGCCUUUCUAGUGAUGUCCUGACUAGGACUAUUCAAUGAUCUGCUUGAGUUUAAUAAACUCUCAAUGAUCUGCUGCAUAUUGAUGGGGAUACAAGUUCUUCAGUAACUUCAAGAUUCUGCUCAGAUUUGCCUUCAAUAAGGCUUUUCUAGUGAUGUCCUGACUAGGACUAUUCAGUGAUCUGCUUGAGUUUAAAAAACUGAUCUGCUUGAGUUUAAAAACUCUCAGUGAUCUGCUGUAUAUUGAUGGAGAUACAUGUUCUUCAAUAACUUCAAGAUUCUGCCCAGAUUUGCCUUCAAUAAGGCUUUUCUAGUGAUGUCCUGACUAGGAUUAUUCAAUGAUCUGCUUGAGUUUAAAAACUCUCAAUGAUCUGCUUGAGUUUAAAAAUUCUCAAUGAUCUGCUUGAGUUUAAAAACUCUCAAUGAUCUGCUGUAUAUUGAUGGGGGGGAUACAUGUUCUUUAAUGCUAAUGUUGUCCGACUUGGCUAAUAUCUGGGCCAUCAUGAUAUCUGCCUCUGAAGAGGCUUGUAUCUAACAUUAAGAAAUUCAAGUGGGGACUUUAAGAAUAAUAUAGUUAAUACUCUAUGCCUAGCUCUUGAAGCUCCUCUUGUUAGCGAAGGCACAUUAUUGUGCAACGUUUGAUGGGUUUAAGGCUCGAGCAAAGCACUAAAGAGAAAGAGAGCGUAAAUCUGAUGUCUUAGUGAAGAGGGAUACUGCAGAAAAUCUAGUUUGCAACUUAUCUCUUUCCCGCUUUUGAUCAGCGAUAGGAUGUGUAGAAGACUGUGAUUCUUUUAUGGCAUUUUGGUGACUUAUAGUGCACAACAAGAUUAAUGGAUCUGACAAUUUUUGUCUCCAUAUAUGAAAGCUCUUGUUUUCAGGAAACAAAGGGAAAAUUUCAUGAAUUUUGGGAAGAUGUUGGAUGUAUGGAACAUUCAGCCUCUUAAUUUGCAAGCAGGUAUGUACUGGUAUACAUGCCAUGACUCGUGAUGAUAAAUCUGAUAUGUUUCUCAAUUCAUGACAUCUUCUGUGGCCAUCUGUGAUCUUAUCUCAAGUACAUGUUUUUUUUUUCCUCCGCUUUCAGUAAUAUCAUAGUGUUUUGCUUGUGUUUUGAUUGAUCAUAAUGUUGUUACUUGCGUUUUUUUAACUGUUGUAGUAGUAGCAUUACUUGUGGUUGCUUGCAUUUUGAUUUGUACAAGGUUUUUGCUUGCGUUUUGAGUAAUCAUAGUGUAUCAUACAUAAUGGAUGUUUUUUGCAGAAAUGUUCAUCUUUAGAAGAGACAAGUUUGGUUCCUUUCUAAGGUUUAUCUUAGACAUUUGUGUUUUUUGUUCAGUUGAUUGUUUUCUUUUGGAUUGUAGACAAACUCAAUUAAGCUAACACAUAAACACAUGUAUGUACUGGUAGUCUGAUAAUUUUCGUUAAGCUUUAUAUAUGCCAUGACUCGUGAUCAUAAAUCUGAUAUGUUUCUCAUGUUUCUCUAAUCAUGGCAUCUUCUGUGGCAAUGUGUGUUGCUUGCGUUUUGAAUGAUCAUAGUGUAUCAUAGUGUUGUUACUUGCGUUUUAAUUGUUGUAGUAUUAGAAUUAGUUGUGUUUGCUUGCGUUUUGAUUGAUCAUAGGGUUGUUGCUUGUGUUUUGAUUAAUCAUAGCAUAGUGUAUCAUACAUUAUCCAGAAAGUUUCAUCUUUAGAAAAGAUAAG